AUGUAAGUCGCUUAGCUUGGUAGAGCGCUGGAUUGCUAAUCCAGUGUCCGCUAGGACUCGUGGGUUCGAAUCCCACCGACUGCG
rnacentral:tRNA from 1 species